CCUACGGGAGGCAGCAGUGGGGAAUAUUGCACAAUGGGGGAAACCCUGAUGCAGCGACGCCGCGUGAAGGAAGAAGUAUUUCGGUAUGUAAACCUCUAUCAGCAGGGAAGAAAAUGACGGUACCUGAGUAAGAAGCCCCGGCUAACUACGUGCCAGCAGCCGCGGUACUACGUAGGGGGCAAGCGUUAUCCGGAUUUACUGGGUGUAAAGGGAGCGUAGGCGGUGCAGCAAGUCAGGAGUGAAAGCGCGGGGCUCAACUCCGGGACUGCUGUUGAAACUGUCGAACUAGAGUGCAGGAGAGGUAAGUGGAAUGCCUAGUGUAGCGGUGAAAUGCGUAGAUAUUAGGAGGAACACCGGUGGCGAAGGCGGCUUACUGGACCGUAACUGACGCUGAGGCUCGAAAGCGUGGGGAGCAAACAGGAUUAGAUACCCUUGUAGUC
rnacentral:rRNA from 1 species